GACGAACGCUGGCGGCGUGCUUAACACAUGCAAGUCGAACGGUGAACCAGAGCUUGCUCUGGGGAUCAGUGGCGAACGGGUGAGUAACACGUGGGCAACCUGCCCAGACUCUGGGAUAACCUCGGGAAACCGAUGCUAAUACCGGAUACGACCACUUCGGACAUCCGACGGUGGUGGAAAGUUUUUCGGUCUGGGAUGGGCCCGCGGCCUAUCAGCUAGUUGGUGGGGUAAUGGCCUACCAAGGCGACGACGGGUAGUCGGCCCGAGAGGGCGACCGGCCACACUGGAACUGAGACACGGUCCAGACUCCUACGGGAGGCAGCAGUGGGGAAUAUUGCACAAUGGGCGAAAGCCUGAUGCAGCGACGCCGCGUGAGGGACGACGGCCUCGGGUUGUAAACCUCUUCUAGCAGGACGAAGCGAAAGUGACUGUACCUGCAGAAGAAGACACCGGCUAACUACGUGCCAGCAGCCGCGGUAA
rnacentral:rRNA from 1 species